UGGGGAAUAUUAGACAAUGGGCGCAAGCCUGAUCCAGCCAUACCGCGUGGGUGAAGAAGGCCUUCGGGUUGUAAAGCCCUUUUGUUGGGAAAGAAAUCCAGCUGGUUAAUACCCGGUUGGGAUGACGGUACCCAAAGAAUAAGCACCGGCUAACUUCGUGCCAGCAGCCGCGGUAAUACGAAGGGUGCAAGCGUUACUCGGAAUUACUGGGCGUAAAGCGUGCGUAGGUGGUCGUUUAAGUCCGUUGUGAAAGCCCUGGGCUCAACCUGGGAACUGCAGUGGAUACUGGGCGACUAGAAUGUGGUAGAGGGUAGCGGAAUUCCUGGUGUAGCAGUGAAAUGCGUAGAGAUCAGGAGGAACAUCCAUGGCGAAGGCAGCUACCUGGACCAACAUUGACACUGAGGCACGAAAGCGUGGGGAGCAAACA
rnacentral:rRNA from 1 species